GACGAACGCUGGCGGCGUGCUUAACACAUGCAAGUCGAACGGUGAAGCGCCUUCCUUUUUGGUGGGUGUGGAUGAGUGGCGAACGGGUGAGCAACACGUGAGUAACCUGCCCCCCUCUUCUGGAUAACCGCAUGAAAGUGUGGCUAAUACGGGAUAUUCUGGGUCUGUCGCAUGAUGGGUCUGGGAAAGAUAUUGUUUCGGUGGGGGAUGGGCUCGCGGCCUAUCAGCUUGUUGGUGGGGUGAUGGCCUACCAAGGCGGUGACGGGUAGCCGGCGUGAGAGGGUGGACGGUCACACUGGGACUGAGACACGGCCCAGACUCCUAAGGGAGGCAGCAGUGGGGAAUAUUGCACAAUGGGCGCAAGCCUGAUGCAGCGACGCCGCGUGAGGGAUGGAGGCCUUCGGGUUGUGAACCUCUUUCGCCAGUGAAGCAGGCCUGCCUCGUUUGUGGGUGGGUUGACGGUAGCUGGAUAAGAAGCGCCGGCUAACUACGUG
rnacentral:rRNA from 1 species